GAUGAACGCUGGCGGCGUGCCUAAUACAUGCAAGUCGAGCGAACAGACGAGGAGCUUGCUCCUCUGACGUUAGCGGCGGACGGGUGAGUAACACGUGGAUAACCUACCUAUAAGACUGGGAUAACUUCGGGAAACCGGAGCUAAUACCGGAUAAUAUAUUGAACCGCAUGGUUCAAUAGUGAAAGACGGUUUUGCUGUCACUUAUAGAUGGAUCCGCGCCGCAUUAGCUAGUUGGUAAGGUAACGGCUUACCAAGGCAACGAUGCGUAGCCGACCUGAGAGGGUGGUCGGCAACAUGGGACUUAGACACGGUUCAAACUCCUACGGGAGGCCGCCGUAGGGAAUCCUUCCGCAUUGGCCAAAACCUGACGGGGCAAACCCGCGGGGGUGAUUAAGGUCUUCCGGUUCGUAAACUCUGGUAUUAGGGAAGAACAAAUGUGUAAGUAACCAUGGACGUUUUGACGGUUCCUUAACCGAAAGCCACCGCUAACUUCCUG
rnacentral:rRNA from 1 species